rnacentral:rRNA from 1 species
CUUGAUAAAUUAUAAGAGGUCCAGCCUGCCCAGUGAAAAAUUUAACGGCCGCGGUACCCUGACCGUGCGAAGGUAGCAUAAUCACUUGUUCUUUAAAUAAGGACUAGUAUCAACGGCAUCACGAGGGUUACACUGUCUCCUUUCUCCAAUCAGUGAAACUGAUCUUCCCGUGAAGAAGCGGGAAUAUAACCAUAAGACGAGAAGACCCCAUGGAGCUUUAAAUUUUAUAGCAACUCAGUCAAAUAAACCCUUAUAAUCCACAGAGCCAUGCAUGCCAAUUUUAGGUUGGGGUGACCGCGGAGUAAAAAUUAACCUCCACGACGAAAAGAACUAGAUCUUUAUCUAAGAGCUACAGCUCUAAGAAUUAGUAUACUAACGACAAUGACCCGAUAAUCGAUCAACGGACUA